rnacentral:rRNA from 1 species
CCUAGGGGUGGCUGCAGUGGGGAAUAUUGGACAAUGGGCGAAAGCCUGAUCCAGCCAUGCCGCGUGUGUGAAGAAGGCCUUCGGGUUGUAAAGCACUUUCAGUGGGGAAGAAAGCCUUGGGGCUAAUACCCUCGAGGAAGGACAUCACCCACAGAAGAAGCACCGGCUAACUCCGUGCCAGCAGCCGCGGUAAUACGGAGGGUGCGAGCGUUAAUCGGAAUUACUGGGCGUAAAGCGCGCGUAGGCGGUCUGAUAAGCCGGUUGUGAAAGCCCCGGGCUCAACCUGGGAACGGCAUCCGGAACUGUCAGGCUAGAGUGCAGGAGAGGAAGGUAGAAUUCCCGGUGUAGCAGUGAAAUGCGUAGAGAUCGGGAGGAAUACCAGUGGCGAAGGCGGCCUUCUGGACUGACACUGACGCUGAGGUGCGAAAGCGUGGGUAGCAAACAGGAUUAGAUACCCGAGUAGUC